CCUGACUGCUAUCGGAUUGGUACUAAGCCAUGUGAGUCAUUGUAGCAAUACAAGGCAGACGGCUCAGUAACACGUAGCCAACCUACCCUAUGGACGGGGAUAACCUCGGGAAACUGAGGAUAAACCCCGAUAGAUCAUAAUGCCUGGAACGGUUUAUGGUCCAAAUGAUUCGUCGCCGUAGGAUGGGACUGCGGCCUAUCAGCUUGUUGGUGAGGUAAUGGCCCACCAAGGCUAUUACAGGUACGGGCUCUGAGAGGAGAAGCCCGGAGAUGGGUACUGAGACACGGACCCAGGCCCUAUGGGGCGCAGCAGGCGAGAAACCUUUGCAAUGUGCGCAAGCACGACAAGGUUAAUCCGAGUGUUUCCUGCUAAAGGAAUCUUUUGUUAGUCAUAAUACCACUGAUGAAUAAGGGGUGGGCAAGUUCUGGUGUCAGCCGCCGCGGUAAAACCAGCACCUCAAGUGGUCAGGAGGAUUAUUGGGCCUAAAGCAUCCGUAGCCGGCUCUGUUAGUUUUCGGUUAAAUCCAUAUGCCCAACAUAUGGGCUGCCGGAAAUACUGCAAAGCUAGGGAGUGGGAGAGGUAGACGGUACUCCGUAGGAAGGGGUAAAAUCCUUUGAUCUAUGGAUGACCACCUGUGGCGAAGGCGGUCUACCAGAACACGUCCGACGGUGAGGGGUGAAAGCUGGGGGAGCAAACCGGAUUAGAUACCCGGGUAGUCCCAGCUGUAAACCAUGCAAACUCAGUGAUGCGUUGGCUUGUGGCCAGCGCAGUGCCGCAGGGAAGCCGUUAAGUUUGCCGCCUGGGAAGUACGUACGCAAGUAUGAAACUUAAAGGAAUUGGCGGGGGAGCACCACCAAGGGGUGAAGCCUGCGGUUC
rnacentral:rRNA from 1 species